rnacentral:rRNA from 1 species
UACGGAGGGUGCGAGCGUUGUUCGGAAUCACUGGGCGUAAAGCGCGUGUAGGCGGCCCACUAAGUCUGAUGUGAAAGCCCGGGGCUCACCCCCGGAAGUGCAUUGGAAACUGGUGGACUCGAGUCCCGGAGAGGAGAGUGGAAUUCCUGGUGUAGCGGUGAAAUGCGUAGAUAUCAGGAGGAACACCGGUGGCGAAGGCGGCUCUCCGGACGGUGACUGACGCUGAGACGCGAAAGCGUGGGGAGCAAACAGG